AUUGAACGCUGGCGGCAGGCCUAACACAUGCAAGUCGAGCGGAUGACGGGAGAUUGCUCCUCGAUUCAGCGGCGGACGGGUGAGUAAUACCUAGGAAUCUGCCUGAUAGUGGGGGACAACGUUUCGAAAGGAACGCUAAUACCGCAUACGUCCUACGGGAGAAAGCAGGGGACCUUCGGGCCUUGCGCUAUCAGAUGAGCCUAGGUCGGAUUAGCUAGUUGGUGAGGUAAUGGCUCACCAAGGCGACGAUCCGUAACUGGUCUGAGAGGAUGAUCCGUAACACUGGAACUGAGACACGGUCCAGACUCCUACGGGAGGCAGCAGUGGGGAAUAUUGGACAAUGGGCGAAAGCCUGAUCCAGCCAUGCCGCGUGUGUGAAGAAGGUCUUCGGAUUGUAAAGCACUUUAAGUUGGGAGGAAGGGCAGUAAGCUAAUACCUUGCUGUUUUGACGUUACCGACAGAAUAAGCACCGGCUAACUCUGUGCCAGCCGCCGCGGUAAAAC
rnacentral:rRNA from 1 species